rnacentral:lncRNA from 1 species
AUUGGGUUGAGGUCUCUGUCCUUCCGGUUUCUUUACAAAGUUCUUUAGGUGCCCUCUCUUUAUCAACCUCUCAAUUUCUGCAAUCAACUGGAAACAGUUGUUGGUGUCGUGACCAUGAGUUCGGUGGAACUGACAAUAUUUGUCAGGAUUUCGCUGGUCGGCUUCCGAUUUCAGGGGCUUGGGCCAUUGCAAGAAUUCUUUAUCCUGGACAGCUACGAGCACCUCGGCUCUAG